UGAUUUUCUUGCUCUGAUACCAAUUGUUGGUAUCAGUAACCUCUGAUACCUAGAUCGUCUGCACCAACAAUUCGUAUCAGAGCGAGAGAAUCAAU